rnacentral:tRNA from 1 species
GGGGUAAUAGCUCAAUGGUAGAGCAUGAGCUUAGCAUGCGCAAGGUACUGGGUUCAAUCCCCAGUACUUCCA